GUUAAAAAGCUCGUAGUUGAACGUUCGGGUUCCGCGGGACGGGGCGCCCCGCGAGGGACGGCGCCGCCCCGGGGCUCGUGAUAUCUUAUCUCGCCGCCCGUCGCGAGGCGGACGGAGGGAUGGAUGAGGUUACCUGGAAAAAAUCGGGGCGAUCUAGGCGGGCGAACCUCGCCAACGAACGAUCGGACAUGGGAUAACGGAAGAGGGCGUCGGCUCGACUUCGUCGGUUCCUCGGGCCGAGGCACGUACGGUGAAUAGGGACGGUCGGGGCCGCCCGUACCGGGUCGUGAGAGGUGAAAUUCUAGGAUCGACCCGAGACGAACUGCCGCGAAAGCAUUCGGCAAGGACGCUUUCAUUAAUCAAGAACGAAAUCGGGGGAUCGAAGACGAUCAGAUACCGUCGUAGUCCCGACCGUAAACGAUGCCGACCGAGGGCCCGGAGGAGUUACGUACGACCCUCCGGGCCCUCCCGCGAGAAAUCAGGAGUAUUCGGGUUCCGGGGGGAGUAUGGUCGCAAGGCCGAAACUUAAAGGAAUUGACGGAAGGGCACCACCAGGAGUGGAAUCUGCGGC
rnacentral:rRNA from 1 species